rnacentral:tRNA from 1 species
GUGGGGGUAUAGCUCAGCUGGUAGAGUGCUUGCCCUGAAUGCACAAGGUCCUGGGUUCAGUCCCCAGCACCACA